UACAGAGGGUGCAAGCGUUAAUCGGAAUUACUGGGCGUAAAGCGUGCGUAGUCGGUUAUCUAAGUCGGAUGUGAAAUCCCCGGGCUCAACCUGGGAAUUGCAUUCGAUACUGGAUAGCUAGAGUUCGGCAGAGGGAAGUGGAAUUUCGGGUGUAGCGGUGAAAUGCGUAGAUAUCCGAAGGAACAUCAGUGGCGAAAGCGACUUCCUGGACCAGAACUGACGAUCAGGCACGAAAGCGUGGGGAGCGAACAGG
rnacentral:rRNA from 1 species